GACGAGCACAUCGGGAGUUGUCGCGUUAUUUUUUAGAUUAUUCUAUAUCUAUUAUUCUAUAUAUUUAUCGUGUUGAUUUUUAAUACCGCGUUUCUACUUCGCAACAAUUGAAGCGAUAAUUAAGAGAAAUUAAGACACGUACUCCUCACGCGAGCAGGUGUUGCGGGCUUUACCGCGACAGAGAUCCAAUAGAGCAGACGCCAGUCACGCGGCUCUAGGAGUUGCAAUGAUUGGGAGAUGUUGCGCCGGGUGUUUCGGCUCGGGCCUGAUUUUGUCGAUAAAAGUGAAGAGACGAAAACUCGACUCUAAGCGGAUGCUGCGCCGGAGGAUCUGGCUCGGGCCGAGCG